UGAAUAUGAAUAUGAUUUUCUGAUUGCUGAUUCCAAGAGAGUCUUUGUGGAAAUACUGUUUGGCUUUUUGUCAUUUUAAUUCUCUUUUCCGUUUUCCAGAACAGUUCUCCACAGUUGCUGUCCACAUGGGUCAGUGGGACCAAGAAGCACUCUGCUAAUGUGUGGACUCUGACCAGUGUGGAGAUCAGGGAAAUAUUUUACUGCUAAUAUUCAUAAUCAUCAUUACCAUUGCAUUAAUUAUCAUUUCAUCAAAGCAUUUAUUGAAGCUGUUGGCCUUAUGUUAAAACUUGUAUAACAGGUGCAGCUAUAAUCAUUUAUUCAUUAUUAUCUUUUAUUUGUUUAUAUCCUUUUUAUUAAGCUUUGGGUAGUGGCAUUUGAUUAGAACAUUUAUUCAACAUAUUACAUAUAUAGUUUCAGUUAGGUUAUUGCACACAUGGGAGUUGGUCUCUGUCCUCAUAGACAGAGUGUAUUUUGAGGUCGAGACAGACACACACACACACAUAAACAGUAGUUAGACUCAUGUUUAUGUAAGAGUUCAAAUAAUAGUUUGCAAAAGCUUGUGACUGCAAAAUUAUGUCUGCAUGAGGGACAGUUUGUUCUAGGGGAUAAGCGAGAGUUAGAAGAUUAACAGGAGGCACCUGGCCUCGAGACGGAGAAGAUGUCCUUUCUAAAUGUGUCAAAAGUCGUCAACAGAACGUGUGGUUUUGAAACUUAUGCGUGUAUUGUAUCUGCUUGACGCAUGAGGGGGCGUCUAACCCUGAUGUUAUAAAAACAACUGCUUGUGUAGUCUUGGGCGGAGAUUUACAGCUGGUGUGUGCAGUGUUCAUCUCCCCACGCGUGUGUUCAUUAAAAAUCAUUGUUUGACUUGACUCUUCUGGACCAUUGUUGUUUUUGUGCCCAUCCUCAAUAUCUGAACCCGCAACACCAGCAACAUCCAGCAAGACCCAGGCAGCGUUUUCUAUCUCCCAGCUGGAGUUUUUUUGUUUGUCUGUGACUGGAGAGUCAGAUUUUUGUUGAAGCUGGAGGAACAGCCUCACACUCGCAGAGGUUAAUACACGCUACUGAUCCCUGAUGGGAGAAUCAUCACCUCUGCCAACAAAGAAGCCUGCUGGAUAUUUGUUUGCAGUCUGAUAAUGGGACAUCAUGCUGUGCAUCUUCAAAGUUUGUCUCUUGAUGAUUAUUCAUAAACAGUAAUGUGAAGUAUGCUUAUAUCUAGUAUAACUGGACCAACGUGGUGCUCUUCAUUUAUGGAGGCUGUUGAGUCUGAAUGUUGGAUGUUGUGUAUCUCGUGUUCUCUGGGCUUUGUUGUCCUCAGUCUUUUUGCAGGAUCAGAAAACAAAACCAGGAUGACCGUAAAUGUUUCUUCUCCAAUUGGAUGAUGAUAAGACUGUGACACGGAAUGCCACCUUUAGUCUUGUGAUGAAGCAAAGCUCAGGAAGAAGUGUGAUUAAAUGGUACCCACAUGUGUGCUGCUGAGAAGGAUGUACAGGGGCACCUGCAGCCAAAUCCAAGCCGCCUCAGAGCAGAGCACCAGUUUGUGCUCACAGAUGGUGACGGUGUGGAGAGACGGUGGUGUUUCCUCAGAAGAACUAGCAGAGUCACAAAGAGCACCAGUCCAUCUCACCACCUUGACUUGCUGACUGAUGCUCGUCUGCACUGCACAGAGGAAAUCAACUGAUCGAGGAGUGUUUCUGAGUGAGGGAGAGAGGAGUCAUCAUCCAGGUAAAGUGACGUGGAUCAGUGGACACACUUGUCUCCCCUUUAAAGGAGAUACUCUUAGAGAGAGACGAUCCGAGUCAUCCUUAAAUAUGGGCAGGAUAUCAGUCUUGGACAGUCUAACCUGCCGGAGCAGCACUGAAUGAUCACCACACAUGAGCAUGUUCCUGCAACAUUCAGCAGCUUUGCUUUUGUGUCAAAUGUCAAACAGCUGGAGAGGAAACUACACCAGUGUACUGGAAUGUUUCACCAACACGUGCCAGAUGCUGUUCCUUCAUGGUUUCAUCACCAUGAAAGUUUCAGAGACAGCCCCGCCCACCUCAGGACCUCGCCAUUGAUCAUGAUGAUUAUAAUAAUGACAGCGAGCGGAACUAAGACUGUAAAAAUCCAUGACCAGAAUGUUUAGAUGCUUUCUAAUUAUUAAUGAAUACUGAGAGCCUCUUUCUGUGUUUUGUCUGGUUUUUUGGGGGGUUUUUUUACCUCAUUUGUUACUAACAAAGUUCACCAAACUCACACAGUUUACAUUCUGUAUGCUUCCAUCUUUACCAGCCACAGUCUAACUGCAUUUAAGAAAAUAAUCCUUAGAAAUCGUUGUUUUUCUCUUUUGUAAUUGAUGAUAAUUCAGUGAAUAUACUGCGCUGCUUCCUUUUAUUGCGUCUCACAUUGCUUUAAGUUUUUCAGUGUCCAGUUAUUUUUUACUGCUAUAAAUGGUAAAUGGCCUGUAUUUAUAUAGCGCUUUACUAGUCCCUAAGGACCCUAAAGCACUUUACAUAUCCAGUCAUCCACCCAUUCACACACACAUUCACACACUGGUGAUGGCAAGCUACGUUGUAGCCACAGCCACCCUGGGGCGCACUGACAGAGGCGAGGCUGCUGUUUGAACUCUCUGUAUGUUUGACCCUGUAGACUGUUUGAUGGACUGCUUGUCUUGUAAUUGCUGCCUGUUUUUGACUAAAGAUUUGGAUUUCUGACUUUAACACAGCCUCUGCGUGUCCUCCCUUUGUGUCCUCUUCCUCUGUGAAUGUGUUGCAUGUGUCACAGAUUCAUUUUAUUAACAGCUUUCCCACAGUGAGUUGCAUCAGCAUUCAUUCACAGCACAUUUCAGAAGGAUU